UAAAUGAUAAUUUAGGUUAGUACCAUGAUGAUGAUGAUGAUGAUCAUCAUUUGAUACUGUCACCUUCAUGACUGUCAACAUCAGAAUCAUAGUCUUCCUCAUUAUGUGUGAACGGACAACCAGUUUUGACUGCAUGUCCACAUCUUUUUCUUCUGGGCAUGCAUGCAGUAGGAGGAUUCUUUGGGAGCAGAUAGGACAGUUGAGAGAGGAGAUGCACAACAUCCAGUACCAGCUCAGCAAGUUGGCUUAUUCACAUCAAGCAGAGCUUUAAUCUCAUGUAUCCUGUAGUGGCCAUGUAACACAGAGGCAAUAAGCGUAUCAUUAAUUUACCUGUAGACAGUGAUUGCCUGUUUGCUUUUAUACUUGAGCUUUCUGGGCGUCAAUAAUUCAGUCAGCAUUGCCUCUCUAGUAAUAAGGCCCAGAUUUAAACUAUAACACUAUCUCCUUAGCUGAGGUCUUGAUCAAGGUGGAUCUUAACUGGUAUCAUCUCUGUGUAGAUCACCAAAGGGAGGACGUACAACGGAGACUGACUGAGUCAUUUUCCAAAGAUAGGGUAAGAGGUACUGGUUAUCACUGCUGGUGGUGUAUGGCAUUCUGAAUCCCAUGCCUUUGAGUCCAAGCUUUAUGUCCCCUUGAACCACAGUAUCUACAGUGUACCCAAACGAUGAAGUAAAACCUGACAGUCUGACUCUGUGGAAUGACGCACUCGAGAUAUGUAUCUGUCAGUAUGAGUGUGUUUUUUUUAUAUACUCCUUGUAAGGGCACGACUUUGAAGUAAUAGUUUCUUGGGUGGCAUUUGCAGUGCAUGGAGAGAAUGAUUGACUGCUGUAUGGAGAAAGAUGACAGACAGCGCAGAUCGCAGGACGGAGCUGAUAUUUCACAACUACAGAAUUCACUUCAGAAGAUAACCAUAUCUAAGGGGAAAGCUCCCAAAAAACCUGGUAAGUAGUUGUUGUGUUUUAAAAUUCAAGGAAGUAAUCUGCAUUCUUGUAAUACUUUUUGUAAGAACAUGAGGAAAACGGUUCCUUCCAAAGUCCUCCUUGGUGUGUGUGUCUGUGUUGUUCACUAGGGCGGGUGUUCAGACCAAUCACAACCAAAUCUCUGCUAACAAACUCAGACUCUGAUGACAGCUCUACUAGAAUUGGAUUGACGUCAUUAAAAAUCAAAAAGGAAAUAAUCCCAACAGCUCGGUAACCUAUUUCAAAAUGUAAUUCUGCUUGAUUAGAAAGCAGAAUUUAUAACCAUCUUAGUUUGUCUCUUUUGCAGCAGGAAAUAGAGCGCUGGAUUCCACAUCUGUGACUGGAGCUAGAGCUGAAAUACUCUGAGACAAACAACAUGUGCAGUAAAAAUCUGGAAAAAUACGUUUUUUUAUUUAUUUGUUAUACCAAGCAUAUAUAUAUAUAUAUACUGUAUAUAUAUUGUUGAUUCAAGAUAACUUAUUUCCUCUUUGCAAAGUUGCAAAUGUUCUCCUCUCAUGACUAUCUCUAUCUGUACCAUAGUGACCCUCUAUCACAGUAAGCAUAUACAGUACUAUCCAGGCAUUUUUCUGUUUUAGUGUUAUAGUAUUAUAGUGACAGACGUAUGUAGUACAUUUCGGCCAUAGAUUUGCAUAUUCUGAUUGUUUGUGUUAUAGUAUAAGUUGUUACUAAUGUAGCAGACUGCAUGAGACAGGGGGGGUCACUGCAGUAGUCUUCCCAUUGUUCCUAGCGCCUGUCCUGUAUUUUUGGAGACUGAAUGGUGCAAUCUAUUGCGAAUAGUUUUUUGAACUAUGAUAACUGAUCGCUUUGAUUAAGUGAAGCACAUUCAUCAAAAUAGGCCCAGAGAUGCCACCGGCCAUCUGUAGUCUGGGAUGUCAGUGGUAGAAAAUCACAGAAACAUGGUUGCUGGUUAUAUUAUUAUUGGUUAAAACUGCGGAUAAAUUCGCUGCCAGGACUAAACUAGUGUAAAUGUACGUGCAUGUUAUGAUCACUAGGUGGCAGUUGGACACCAUUGACGUGAGCCAUUCUAGUUUACUCACACAGAGGGGCUUUGAUUUCUCUUGAGGUUGCUGUAAGAUACAAGAGAUGAUGCGGUAAGAGACAAUAAAACACCUGUUGGUCUUUUGGACACAGGUGAAGUCAUGUGCCUAUGUGGAAACACAGAUCACCUUUUUGGAGAGAAUUUAGUUUUCGUUGACACAAAUGAAAGGUAGAUAAUUCAGCCUCCUGAUUUGGCUCCAUUUUUGUUUUUGUAUAUUCUUUACAAUGGAUAGCCAUGGAAAUCCAAUGCUGAGUAGGACUAGUAAUAGUCUCUCUCUUUGAACGAGCUGACUAUGUUUACAAAUAGACUUUGAUUCAUGAGAGUGAAUGUGUCAGUCAAGCCUUUGUGCCUCUCUCCUAGUGUUUGAUGACAGGUAGUCCUCUUUGUUCAGUUUCAUUCCCAACCAAGUCAUGGUAAUGUCAUGGCAUCUUAUGUCAGACCAACAAUGCAUUAACUUUAUUAUUGUAAUGGUAUUGAGUUGGUCACCUACGUACACUGUGUUCUGAAAAGAUCAAAAUCUCAGGUGAAUGAUUAUUGCAGGCCAGUUUACAUUAGAUUCAAGUUUUAGUCAAGAGCAGAUAAAUGAGAAAUGACUAGUAGUAGUUUUAUAUGACUAUCAUAAUUGACAUCGUUUACAUUGACUGUGUUUAAAUUAAAAGUGUUUUUAUCACACAGUUGAAUACAUUUCAAAUUUGAAGAAGUGAGUUUGUGGGCAGCCACUUUGAACAUAGCAGCUGCUGAGGAUAGCACAAGUUUUAGUUUUGGACUUGUCAAGGAUCAUCCACCGCAAACUCAUAAUUAGCAGAUGCACAUCAUCAUUGUUAUACAUUGUCCAUUGGAAUGAUCAUCCACCACAAACUCAUAGUUAGCAGAUGCACAUCAUCAUUGUUCAUUGGAAGAAUAAGAUCAGGAUAGAAGAUUCCCAUAAAGUCUAAUCCACUAUGACUCAUAGGGGGUAUAUGGGAUUAAGGAUAAAGAUUUCCGAGGGGUCAGUGAUGAAAGUUGUUAUCAAACAGUGGUAAGCAACACACACAUGGAGCAAAGGGUUGUGACACGUGGUGUCAUGUGCUCCGACAUGAACCCACAUUUUUUUGUAGAACGUUUGGUCCCUUGUAGAUAAAACACCACAUUGCUCUUUUCUUUUCACUGGGUUUAUUGCAACAUGCAUUAUACCUGAAUUCUGUGGCUGCUAUACCCCUAAUAGCUCAUGGAACGAUGUCUACAGGAUGAAAGCCUCACUUCAUCUUUCAGGAAGGUUUGGCAGAAGGCGUGUGCCUGUGUCCACUCAUUUAGGGCGUAUAAAACAUCACAAUAACUGCCAGCAGCGACAGAAUUCACUGUCACUCCAAAACAUACCAUGUCAGACACAACAGCGUGGCUAACAUUCUGUACUCCAUCUAUAUCAGCCUCUCACCAACUAGCCCAUUUUUACCUUUGGUUUUAUAACGCUGAGCCUUCAGACGGACUGAGAAGGUAUAAUCCCAAAUGACACACCGCCCAGAGAAGUGUGUGGGAGUCCCUCCUGUUGCUCAGAGACCUAAUAUAAGACUCAGUCACAAGAAAGUCAGCACUGCUACACCAAAAACCCUUCAGAUGGGAGAUGUUAGUCUUUCCUGUUUGCGAAGGCAUUCCCUCAGGAAGUGGAUGGCCAAGAAAGGAAAUGUGUCGUCCCCCCCCCCCGUUUAGCAGGGCUGUCCCAUGAACAGCUUAGCUGGUUUAUAGGAAAGGGCAUUGAGGGAUUACAAAGGGCUGACUCUGUCUGGAGGGUAAAUAGCCCCCUCCUGCGUCAUUAAGGAGGUGUAACGUGGUGUUGUUUGUUACCCUGGAGACAUCUCACCUUAAUGGGACCUGAGAGUUACUAUUCAUAACUCCAACGGCAUUUACGGGUGAAACUCCUUAUAUCCACAUAGAUUCACUUGUCAGUGUUUUUCAACCUAUUUUUAUAACCCACAUGUGUUUCGAACAUUGUUUUAAGGAAGUAAAAUCAAGCGUAAAUCAUUUGUUGUAUGGACACUACCUAUUAGAUCAACCCAUGCUGCAUUUGUGUUUACCACCUUGUGCCUGAAUGCACUUCUUCAACCUCUGCCACUGGGUCAAAGGGUCAGAUGGAUAUGCCAUUAGCUAAUGACCAUUCGUUUCUUUCUCAUCUUACUCUGGCUAAGUGAUGCAGGCACCAUUGAUUUGACAUAUCCCAGGCAAGGCAGCUCUUCCUGUGUGCUGUCCUCUUGGUCAAAUUGUAGCAUACGGUGACACAGUGACUUUGGUCCAUGGGAGAGAUCCAUUGGGCAUUCAGAACAGGGCAGCCUUGUACAUUGUAAUCUCGUAAUAACUGGCUAGUGCUAGAGUCAAGAUGAAGUCUGCAUUGCUAAAUGCUUCCUUGUUAAACUGUGUGUGUGCACGGUUGCCCUAGCAGUUGGAUUGGGAUUAGGGUCGAAAAGGGUGACUGUGAGGUGACACAAAGACACCAUGGGAACUACUGGCUGGAGUGAUUUCCCCUGGACGAGUGAUGACAAUGGGCAGAUUAAGGCCAAGCAGAGGCCACUCUCACUCAGCCAGUGGCUAAUGGUGCCCUUCGGACAUUCUCUGAACUGAAACCUGGGACAGGUGAUGUUGUUUGUUUAAAUUGCUGUAGAUUAUUGAAUCUAUAUCCUUGGUUUGUGGUAGAAAAACAAAUAAAUUGAUCCCCAUUUGAA